AACGAACGCUGGCGGCGUGCUUAACACAUGCAAGUCGAACGCGAAAGGGACUUCGGUCCUGAGUAAAGUGGCGCACGGGUGAGUAACGCGUAGAUAGCCUGUCUUCAUGUCUGGAAUAAUACGCCGAAAGGGGUACUAAUACCGGAUAUUCUUGCUUUUCAUAAGUUAUGCAAGCAAAGGUGGCCUCUGCAUAUGCUACUGCAUGAAGAGGGGUCUGCGUACCAUUAGCUAGUAGGUGGGGUAAUGGCCUACCUAGGCGACGAUGGUUAGCGGGUCUGAGAGGAUGAUCCGCCACACUGGCACUGGAACACGGGCCAGACUCCUACGGGAGGCAGCAGUGAGGAAUAUUGCGCAAUGGGGGAAACCCUGACGCAGCGACGCCGCGUGAGUGAAGGAAGGCCUUCGGGUCGUAAAGCUCUGUCAAGAGGAAAGAAGUGUACAAUGGCUAAUACCUGUUGUAUUUGACGGUACCUCUAAAGGAAGCACCGGCUAACUCCGUGCCAGCCGCUGC
rnacentral:rRNA from 1 species